rnacentral:misc_RNA from 1 species
CCUUAAAGAACCUGCCUUUGUAGUGCUCACACAGAUUGUCUGAUGAAAAGUAAAUAGCAAGGCGUCUUGCGAUUGAGACUGUACGUCCCCUUCGUCUAGAGGCCCAGGACACCGCCCUUUCACGGCGGUAACAGGGGUUCGAAUCCCCUAGGGGACGCCACUUGCUGGUUCGUGAGUGAAAGUCACCUGCCUUAAUAUCUCAAAACUCACCUUCGGGUGACGUUUGAGAUAUUUGCUCUUUAAAAAUCUGGAUCAAGCUGAAAAUUGAAACGACACACAGUUAAUGUGUGUUCGAGUCUCUCAAAUUUUCGCAAUCAGAAGUGAAACAUCUUCGGGUUGUGA